UUAAAGUGGUACGCGAGCUGGGUUUAGAACGUCGUGAGACAGUUCGGUCCCUAUCUGCCGUGGGCGCUGGAGAACUGAGGGGGGCUGCUCCUAGUACGAGAGGACCGGAGUGGACGCAUCACUGGUGUUCGGGUUGUCAUGCCAAUGGCACUGCCCGGUAGCUAAAUGCGGAAGAGAUAAGUGCUGAAAGCAUCUAAGCACGAAACUUGCCCCGAGAUGAGUUCUCCCUGAGACUUAGAGUCUCCUGAAGGAACGUUGAAGACGACGACGUUGAUAGGCCGGGUGUGUAAGCGCAGCGAUGCGUUGAGCUAACCGGUACUAAUGAACCGUGAGGCUUAACCUUACAACGCCGAAG
rnacentral:rRNA from 1 species